rnacentral:tRNA from 2 species
GCCGCUGUAGCUCAGCAGGUAGAGCAGCUGAUUCGUAAUCAGCAGGUCGGGGGUUCAAAUCCCUCCAGCGGCU